UACGUAGGGACCAAGCGUUGUUCGGAUUUACUGGGCGUAAAGGGCGCGUAGGCGGCAAUUCAAGUCAGCUGUGAAAUCUCCGGGCUUAACUCGGAACGGUCAGCUGAUACUGCUUUGCUAGAGUGCAGAAGGGGCAAUCGGAAUUCUUGGUGUAGCGGUGAAAUGCGUAGAUAUCAAGAGGAGCACCUGAGGUGAAGACGGGUUGCUGGGCUGACACUGACGCUGAGGCGCGAAAGCUAGGGUAGCAAACGGG
rnacentral:rRNA from 1 species